rfam:Gamma proteobacterium IMCC3088 ctg_59, whole genome shotgun sequence.
CGGGUAGGCUCUUUUUUAAAUGGCGGGCAUUCCGCUUGGGCAGAUUGUAAAAAGGAAGAUGAAAAUGGCAUUAAGUGCAGAACAAAAAGCAGCGAUUGUUAAAGAUUAUCAAACAAGCGAA